UCGAAAGCCUGUCUCAGUUCGGAUUGGAGGCUGAAACCGCCCCCAUGAAGUUGGAUUCGCUAGUAAUCGCGCAUCAGCCAUGGCGCGGUGAAUACGUUCCCGGGCCUUGUACACACCGCCCGUCAAGCCAUGGGAGCCGGGGGUGCCUGAAGUUCGUGACCGCAAGGAGCGACCUAGGGCAAAACUGGUGACUGGGGCUAAGUCGUAACAAGGUAUC
rnacentral:rRNA from 1 species